GAUGAACGCUGGCGGCGUGCCUAAUACAUGCAAGUCGAGCGAACGGACGAGAAGCUUGCUUCUCUGAUGUUAGCGGCGGACGGGUGAGUAACACGUGGAUAACCUACCUAUAAGACUGGGUAACUUCGGGAAACCGGAGCUAAUACCGGAUGAUAUUUUGAACCGCAUGGUUCAAAAGUGAAAGACGGUCUUGCUGUCACUUAUAGAUGGAUCCGCGCUGCAUUAGCUAGUUGGUAAGGUAACGGCUUACCAAGGCAACGAUGCAUAGCCGACCUGAGAGGGGAAUCGGCCACACUGGAACUGGAACCCGGUCCAGACUCCUAGGGGAGGCAGGAGUAGGAAAUUUUCCGAAAGGGGCGAAAGCCUGAGGGAGCAACGCCGCGUGGGUGAGGAAGUUCUUCGGUUCGAAAAACUCUGUUUUUGGGGAAAAAAAUAUUUGUAAGUAACGGGGCCAAUUUUGGGGGUACCGAAUCAAAAAGCCACGGCUAACUACGG
rnacentral:rRNA from 1 species